UGAUGAGGAGGUUAUGAGGUACAAGGGAAAUGAUAGAUUUCAAAGAUGAGAAGAUAUGAGGAAUUGCAUGAGGAGGCGAUAGUUGUUGGAUGUUGCAGGUGGAGAAUGGAUGAAUGUAGAAAAAUAUGCUUCCAGCACCUCUUAUUUUAUUUUUUAUUUUUCACCAGUACCUCUCCAGUGUCUGUAUCUUUUUCAGACUUGAUUUGUUAGGAACUUGACAACGUGAAGGUGAGUUUCGG
rnacentral:lncRNA from 1 species